AACGAACGCUGGCGGCGCGUCUUAAACAUGCAAGUCGAACGAUCUGUAGCAAUACAGGGAGUGGCGGACGGGUGAGGAACACGUAGGAAUCUACCUGGAAGAGCGGGACAACUUUGGGAAACCGGGGCUAAUACCGCAUAGUGUCGAAAGACUAAAGGGCUAGCAAUAGUCGCUUCCAGAUGAGCCUGCGGUCUAUCAGCUUGUUGGUGAGGUAAUGGCUCACCAAGGCAACGACGGAUAGCCGGUCUGAGAGGAUGAUCGGCCACACUGGCACUGAGACACGGGCCAGACUCCUACGGGAGGCUG
rnacentral:rRNA from 1 species